GCCUGGGUGGCUCAGUCGGUUGAGCGUCCGACUUCGGCUCAGGUCAUGAUCUCGCGGUCUGCGAGUUCGAGCCCCGCGUCGGGCU
rnacentral:tRNA from 1 species